AAAUUGAAGAGUUUGAUCAUGGCUCAGAUUGAACGCUGGCGGCAGGCCUAACACAUGCAAGUCGAACGGUAACAGGAAACAGCUUGCUGUUUCGCUGACGAGUGGC
rnacentral:rRNA from 1 species